UNCAGGGCCAGUGCAGUGUGUAUGUGU
rnacentral:piRNA from 1 species